ACCCAAAAGAUCGAAUGGGGAGAUUCAUCGUCAGCUCAUUUUGUAUAUAUAUAAGUUAUGAUGCGGGUUACUACUUGUAGUAUUGCUUGCACAUUCUUAUAUAUUUAGUUGCAAGAUGUUGUCGGCGUGCACUUCUCUCCUAGUAGGACGUCGCGACCCGUUGGGUGUCGGUCUACGACCCAAAUGGUAGUCUUUAAUAUUUUAAAAUAAUAUUAAAAUCCAUUGGUGUUUUCUGACCGGCUACUCGGCGGUACACGUACGGUAUUAAGCCGCAAUAAUAAUGCGUCCAUUCCCGUCGCAAGCGAGGUCAAUUUUACUGAUAGUACGGACCUAGUGCCGUCGUUGGUAUUGGCCAGCUGUUGGUUGUACGGUGUACUAGGACUGGCUUAAAUAUUAUAAAAAUACCGGUCAGCGAUGCUACUGCUUUGGGUACUUUCAGGACCCGUCUUGAAACACGGACCAAGGAGUCUAACAUGUGCGCGAGUCAUUGGGAUUAUUUUUUUAAAUUAAACCUAAAGGCGUAAUGAAAGUAAAGGUCGUCCUUGCGUCGACUGAGGGAGGAUGAGUUAUGUUAUGAUAUAGCUCCGCACUCCCGGGGCGUCUCAUUCUUAUUAUAAGAAGAGGCGCACUUAG
rnacentral:rRNA from 1 species